CCUUAUUGGGCAUGUACCAGUAGUUCCAAGCACUCUGGAGGCUGAGGUAGGAAGAUGAUUUAAGCCCAGGUAUUCUGGGCAGUAGGGUACUAUUCUGAGAAGUGUCCACACUAAGUUCAGCAUCACUGUAAAGACCUCUCAAGAGUCAGAAACCACUAGGUUGCCUAAGAAGGAGUGAACCACCUAGGUCUGAAAUGGAGCAGGUCCAAACUCCCAUGCUGCUCAGUAGUGGGAUUGUGCCUAUGAAUAGCCACUGCACUCCAGCCUGGACAACAUACCCGGACCCACCUC
ensembl:misc_RNA Metazoa_SRP Metazoan signal recognition particle RNA